rnacentral:lncRNA from 1 species
GGUGGACUCCGGGAUGUCGGAAUCCUUUAGAGGGUAGGAGAUAUGAGUUUCUCAAGACAUGGUGUGUGGUUUAUUGUGUUACAGGUAAAUGGAACCAAGUUUUGAGUUGAAAUGGACCAAGGCAGAGGAGCCAAGUUCGGCCGCCGAAGAUAAGUUCGGCCGCCGAAAGUGCCCAAUAUUCGGCUUCCGAAUUCAGGUUCGGCCCCCGAAUGUUGCAUGAUUUUGCAUGCGAUUCGGCAGCCGAAGCUGAGUUGCUGAGCCAGCAGUUUUGUAUCCCUUAGUCAGCAUUUU